rnacentral:snoRNA from 1 species
UGGGCGCUUUCGAAAGCGCCCAUAAAAAAUAUGGGCGCUUUUGAAAGCGCCCAUAAAAAAUAUGGGCGCUUUCGAAAGCGCCUAUAAAAAAUAUGGGCGCUUUCGAAAGCGCCCAUAAAU